AAUACCUGCUUGGGCUGGGAUGAGCAAAGUCAAAAUGACAGAGCCAGACUCUAGUGCCCAGUGACAGGACAAGAGGUAAUUAUGACAAGGAAAUGAGAUAUUCCUAGAAGUGUUGUCCACAACAAGAUAUAAUAAGGAACAGAAGCCAAAAGACCAGCUAAGACGAAUGGAUGUUGCAGAUGCAUGAAUCCUUUGACAAACCCUUCAGCUUGCAGCUACAGAGUGGCACUGAAGUUCCUCAUGACCCAGAGCCUGGCCUGGGCUGUGCCCUUCUGAUAUUAGGGUUGAAGCUCAUUAACCUGAAGAUUCAAAUGGCUGGAAUUGAGUUUGUAUUUCUGAGACUUGAUUAAGAAUUAUAACAAAUGUAAAUGAAAUUUCUGCUAUAAAACAUAACUUAAAUUACA